AUAUCUCCUCUCCCCUCCCCUCCCCUCCCCUCUCUCCCGUGCUCUCCAUUCCCCGAUCCCCUCGUUCCCUCCCAUCGCGCCGCCGCCGGUUCCACGCGGCCUUCUCUCCCUGGCGCUCGAGGCCCCUCCUUCCCUCCCAUCGUGCCACCGGCUCCAUGCGGCGGCCGACGCGACCUUCUCUCCCCGGUGCUCGAGAUCCCCUCCUUCCCUUCAGUCGCGCCGCUGGUUCCACGCGACACCCGUGCUCUGCCGCUCAUCCAUGGCUCCAUCCAUCCUCCUUGCUCGAUGGAGUCGACCGGCAUCGCUCCAUGUCGAGCUGCUCCAGGAGAGAGAAAGAGGAGAGGGAGGUGUGCCAGCGGACGGGAGAGGGUCACCGGCUGCCGCAGGCCUGCGCGGACGAAGUCGGGCGUGACCUCGCGGUCUGUGGCGGCUCAAUCUGCUCCUGGAUUGGUCGAGGGCCACGCCAAGGUCGUUGAUCUGCUGCUCGACCGCGAUCCGGAGGCCGUCGUCGAGGACCAGUGGGGAAGCACGUGCAUGCUGCAGUAGCUGGGAUAGAUGGUAGCAGCGGUGGUCAAGACGUCAAGUGACAGCGGGCGCACCUGAUACCAAGAUGCCAAGGUGAGCAACACACAGAUUAUAUCUCCAGUCAACCUUUAUCUUCCAAUUUAGAGCUUGUUGCUUCAAUCCUCCAUCUUCAUCCUCCCUCAUGUAGCGAAGAAUGGAACAACUGACUUUGUUCUUCUUAUAGCGUAUAUACACCUGAAAGUUGAUUCAGUUAUCGAAGAGUUGCAUAAAUGCUUCCUUCUUUUGAAAAGGUAAAGUGCAUAGGUGUUUUUUCGAUAAGCUCACCUGUAAGCAAAUGUGGUCUGAAGUGGUUUCCCACUUCCCUAAUUUUCUCAUUAGUAUAUCCAAAUAAAAUAGCACACUGAAUGUAUAGAUUUAUUAUUUCAUCUACAUUGGUAGGAAUGGAAAUUUUAAAUUGGGUUUGCAUCGCUGAAUUAUCGCUUAUAUUAGAAUAUUUCUUCCAGCCUUAACACAUAUGAAUUGAUUUUUUACUUUGGAUGUCUGUUCUAUUUUCGCUAUUAGAGAAUGGGGAUGCCAUAUGUACACUUGUUUGGUCUUCAUGACUGCACCUUUCUAAUUUAAUUCUGCAUGCAAUAGUCGAGAAUUAGCAUCUAGCAGGCAUUUUUUUCUGCAGUUGUUACUCAUUCUUUAGUGUCGCAUGUUGAUCUUUUUCUUCUACUUUAGUGUAGGCGCAAGCAAUCAAUCUUGUUUUAGUUUGAUAUUUGAAUUUUCAUGGGUUUAAUUGUUUAUCCUUGACUAUUUUGGUUUUUGGUACUGCUGAUCAGGAACUAAGUUGACAAGCAUCAAUAUUUUUAUUAUAGUAAGAUAAUAUAUGUUCCUAUACUGUCAGUUUGUAUGAUUCUAGCUUCUAAACCCAAUCUAUGUUGCUUCAAAGAGCUUUGAAGUUUUGAAUCAAAGUUACAAGCAUGUUCAACCAUUGGAACUAAAUAACCCUGAAAUGUCUCAUGUAGUUUUCGGAGAUCUCAUGCGUCUUUCUAUCUAUCUUUACAAGAUUCUGAAUAUCUGCUUUUAAAAUUUGUAUCAUUUGCUGCAAACACUUUAACUUAACUAUUCACUUUCUAAUGCCCUCUGGUAAAAGGAAAUACAAAUACAAACACUACCUUUACUAAGAGCCUUCCAAUGUCAGGAGGAGGAUGACAUGGACACAUGUUAGAAAAACGUCUGAACAUGGCUUCACACCUUCAUACAUUAAUCGUAUAGAGCAAAUGUAGUCUGAAUAUAAUCUUACGUCUCGAUACUCCCUUGGGUCAAUUUUCUCGCUUUAUUUUUGAAAUAAUUAUAAUGAAAUGAAAGAAAACCAAAUACCAAAAUACUGCAGAUGCACUCAUGUGAUAAACUCGGAAGCAUCAAAAGUAGUCAAUAGACGAAAUUAGAAAAAUAAUACAGUUAGACAUGCAGGUUAGACUGAAAACUGAUUAUGCCCAAACAUGUCAUAUGCCAUGAGGAGGAUGAGUCUGGUUGGGAAGAGCGUUGGCGAGAGCAGUCAACCUCCUUCCUUAACUUCUUGGCGCAGCAGCCGGCGAGGACGGCAAUGCAGCAGCCGAUGCGGAUGACGAGGGAGAUGAUGAGCAAAUCCGGCCUCCCCUGCUCCUUUACCCAACCGCCUCCAUCCAACUGUGGUGGUUGGAUCUCAGAUCCUUCCACUGUUUGUCCAGAUUCUUCCCUUCAUAUGUUUCAGCCAAACCAAGACAACUAUCUUCUUACAAUUGUUGCAUGUCAAUUGUUACCUUUUAGGUGCCUUCUGCCUUGAUUUCUUGGUACUCAAAAAAUAUAUAUUUGAAUGUUUUUUUUCACAGUGAAAGCAAGUCGCAAGAGCAGCUGUUGUCAUAUGUUUUAGAAUUUCCCAUGUUGCAUGCUCUGCUGCCUGAAAUGUUCCCCUCAAUCUGUUCUUGGAACAGGAUGCCAAUAUGUAAGUUGAUAUUGCAAAUUGAUGGUUUAUGCUCAUGUGCUCCAAGGUUGUCAGGUGUGUUUUUUAUAUCUACAGAAAAGAGAAGGAUUAUUUGGUGCAGCGACAAUAACAACCACAUGAAUGACCAGUGAAGCUGCAGGCCAAGACAAGCAACUAGGAGAAGGACCUUAUAAAGUCAUUGAAGAACUUGCCUCCAUCUUUUGUUCUCAGGGAAGGACACUUUUGCUGAAUGCAUGUUACUGUGAUGUAUUUACCACUACCCCUAAGACACAGUAGACCUACUGCUAGAAGAGGCAUGAAUCUAUGUUAUUUGCCACAAUGGGUUAGAUUAGAUCCAGGCAAAGAGACACAAAUUAGGCCCAUGUCAGUUGGUACGCUGAUAAAUGUAUAAUAAACCAGUGUAUUCUCUUUUUAUUCCUGAUUAGCAUAGAAUUUGUAAAAAAACAAGAAAAAAGUGGUACCAACUAUAGAAAAGGGUACAAACAUAUUUUCAAAUAAUCAUUCUCCUCAUUUUGAAGCA